CAAUAGCGUAUAUUAAAGUUGUUGCGGUUAAAAAGCUCGUAGUUGGAUUUCUGUUGAGAGUGGCCAGUCCGCACUUAGUGCGAGUAUUUGGUUCAGUCUCGGCAUCCUCCAGGGGAGCGUACUGUACUUGAUUGUAUGGUGCGCAAUUCUGGACUUUUACUUUGAGGAAAUUAGAGUGUUCACGGCAGGCAUUUGCCUUGAAUAUGUUAGCAUGGAAUAAUAAUAUAAGACCUUGGUCUUAUUUUGUUGGUUUCUAGGAGCAGGGUAAUGAUUAAUAGGGAUAAUUGGGGGUAUUCGAAUUAAGGCGUCAGAGGUGGAAUUCUUGGAUUGCCUUACGACGAACUACUGCGAAAGCAUUUACCAAGGAUGUUUUCAUUGAUCAAGAACGAAAGUCAGGGGAUCGAAGACGAUCG
rnacentral:rRNA from 1 species